rnacentral:rRNA from 1 species
AUGCCGUCGUGGAAGGAUGGAGAGGAGAGCAGCGAGGAGGAGGAGCUGGUCGGCAUGGAUCUGGAGCAGCACUGGGCGAACCCUGGCACCACUAUAGAUGCAUCCUUCUGUGGUAGAGCUGCAGAUGCAAGCAUCACAUGUAGACUGCACUUGGCCCCAUGCAUGAAAUAUGUUGCAUUUGAAGGAAAGGACACUGGGAGGAGGUUCUAUGGAUGUGUUGUUCCUCAGGAUGGUAUUGACUGUGGAGUUGCUCAGUGGGUUGAUGCCCCAUGGCCUUCUAUUCUGCAAAGAUGUUUGGAGAAGAUAUGGGAGAUGUUUCAUGAGGAGAAUCAUGGCAGAAUGAUUGACCAUGAGAAGUAUAAGAAAGAGUUGGACAAGGUCAACAAGCAGUUGGAUACACUUGGGGAUCAGUACAGUCAGCUGGUUGAGGAUGUCACCAAGAUGUUUGAUUGGGCAGAUCAGAACAACAGGGUCAUGAGUGAUGAAGAGUUCAAGCAGAAGCAGAUGGAUGUGGACAAGGACAUGGAGAAGCUAGCUAUCAGCAAGGAGAAGCAGAGUGCUGACUUUGGCAAGAUGAAGGAGAUGGAGAAGCUGGCUCAGGAGCUGAAGGAGAUGAAGUGCAUUCUUAGGUCCUAG